rnacentral:rRNA from 1 species
CUGUUUACUCAGCCAGAUCUGAACCUCCGUCAGCAGCGAUGGAUGGAAGCUAUUGCUGACUACAACUGCGGUAUAUCUUAUACACCUGGCAAGGCUAAUGUAAUGGCCGAUGCCCUAAGCCGAAAGUCUUAUUGCAAUAAUCACCAGGUCUACAAAGCUCAACCCCGCCUUUAUGAAGAGCUAUGCAAGCUGAACCUUCAACUAAUUCCACAGGGUUCUCUGAAUAACCUUGUUUUGGAACCAACUCUUCUGAAAGCAAUCAAGUCUGCUCAAGCCAAAGAUGCUCAUGUUGAUCUGAUGAAAAAGGAUCUU